UACGUAGGGGGCAAGCGUUGUCCGGAAUUACUGGGUGUAAAGGGUGUGUAGGCGGGUAUUUAAGUCAGAUGUGAAAGCCAUGGGCUCAACCUAUGGAUUGCAUUUGAAACUGAGUAUCUUGAGUGUGGGAGAGGAAAGCGGAAUUCCUAGUGUAGCGGUGAAAUGCGUAGAUAUUAGGAAGAACACCAGUGGCGAAGGCGGCUUUCUGGACCAUAACUGACGCUGAGGCACGAAAGCGUGGGGAGCGAACAGG
rnacentral:rRNA from 1 species